rnacentral:rRNA from 1 species
ACUGAAUAGAUACCCUGGUAGUCCUGGCCCUAAACGAUGAAUACUUGGUGUCUAGGAGUCAUUAUUGCUCCGGGUGCCGUCGCUAAACGUUUAAGUAUUCCGCCUGGGGAGUACGCAACGCAAAGUGUGAAACGUCAAAGGAAUUGACGGGGACCCGCACAAGCGGUGGAGCAUGUGGUUUAAUUCGAACGCAACGCGAAGAACCUUACCUGGGCUAGAAUGCGAGGGAAGGUUGGGUAACGCCAACCGUCCGGGGAAACCGGACCCGAAGACAAGGUGCUGCAUGGCUGUCGUCAGCUCGUGUCGUGAGAUGUUGGGUUAAGUCCCGCAACGAGCGCAACCCUACUUGUA